rnacentral:rRNA from 1 species
CCUCUGCAGACGACUGAAGUGAGCAAGCGGGUCGUGUAAGCGGUCAAGUAGCCUUGUUGUUACGAGUCGCUGAGCGUCAGCCCGAUCCUUGCCUAGAUUUG